rnacentral:rRNA from 1 species
GACGAACGCUGGCGGCGCGCCUAACACAUGCAAGUCGAACGAGAGAUGAGGAGCUUGCUCUUCAAAUCGAGUGGCGAACGGGUGAGUAACGCGUGAGGAACCUGCCUCAAAGAGGGGGACAACAGUUGGAAACGACUGCUAAUACCGCAUAAGCCCACGGCUCGGCAUCGAGCAGAGGGAAAAGGAGCAAUCCGCUUUGAGAUGGCCUCGCGUCCGAUUAGCUAGUUGGUGAGGUAACGGCCCACCAAGGCGACGAUCGGUAGCCGGACUGAGAGGUUGAACGGCCACAUUGGGACUGAGACACGGCCCAGACUCCUACGGGAGGCAGCAGUGGGGAAUAUUGCACAAUGGGGGAAACCCUGAUGCAGCGACGCCGCGUGGGGGAAGAAGGUCUUCGGAUUGUAAACUCCUGUUGUUGAGGAAGAUAAUGACGGUACUCAACAAGGAAGUGACGGCUAACUACGUGCCAGCAGCCGCGGUAAAACGUAGGUCACAAGCGUUGUCCGGAAUUACUGGGUGUAAAGGGAGCGCAGGCGGGAGAACAAGUUGGAAGUGAAAUCCAUGGGCUCAACCCAUGAACUGCUUUCAAAACUGUUUUUCUUGAGUAGUGCAGAGGUAGGCGGAAUUCCCGGUGUAGCGGUGGAAUGCGUAGAUAUCGGGAGGAACACCAGUGGCGAAGGCGGCCUACUGGGCACCAACUGACGCUGAGGCUCGAAAGUGUGGGUAGCAAACAGGAUUAGAUACCCUGGUAGUCCACACCGUAAACGAUGAUUACUAGGUGUUGGAGGAUUGACCCCUUCAGUGCCGCAGUUAACACAAUAAGUAAUCCACCUGGGGAGUACGACCGCAAGGUUGAAACUCAAAGGAAUUGACGGGGGCCCGCACAAGCAGUGGAGUAUGUGGUUUAAUUCGACGCAACGCGAAGAACCUUACCAAGUCUUGACAUCCUGCGACGCACAUAGAAAUAUGUGUUUCCUUCGGGACGCAGAGACAGGUGGUGCAUGGUUGUCGUCAGCUCGUGUCGUGAGAUGUUGGGUUAAGUCCCGCAACGAGCGCAACCCUUAUGGUCAGUUACUACGCAAGAGGACUCUGGCCAGACUGCCGUUGACAAAACGGAGGAAGGUGGGGAUGACGUCAAAUCAUCAUGCCCUUUAUGACUUGGGCUACACACGUACUACAAUGGCGUUAAACAAAGAGAAGCAAGACCGCGAGGUGGAGCAAAACUCAGAAACAACGUCCCAGUUCGGACUGCAGGCUGCAACUCGCCUGCACGAAGUCGGAAUUGCUAGUAAUCGUGGAUCAGCAUGCCACGGUGAAUACGUUCCCGGGCCU